AUGAUAAUUGGGGACUUUAACGAAAUCUUAUACUCGUCAGAGAAGGAAGGGGGCACUCCCCGCCAACAGUCUCGUUUACAGGCGUUUCAAGAUGCUCUGUCUGACUGCAUGUUAGAGGAUGUUGGCUUCGUAGGGGACAAAUUCACUUGGUUCAGGGGUGGGCUGCGAGAGAGGCUAGAUCGAGCGGUCUCCAAUGCAGCUUGGCUGCUAUUGCACCCAUCUGCAGGGCUCAGCAACUUGGAGCUAGGCAAAUCAGAUCACCGUCCGUUGCUGAUGGAUACUGAGUAUCUGUCUGGGGUUGCGGAUAAUAACCCGAAGAAAGAACACAAGUUUGAAAUGAGGUGGCUGGAGGAAGAAACAGUCAAUGAGAUUGUGAACACUGCAUGGCAGAAGGCCAUUCACCAAGGUUUAUGCCCUGCAAUUUCUGACAAGCUUAGGGCUGUACACCAGGAUUUACAUGAGUGGGACCGUAAGAUAUUACGGAAGCCACAGGAUAGACUCAAAGCUGCACGCAAAGAACUUGAGAAGGUGAUGAGGGGGCCGUACUCGAAUGAAGCAAAGAUGAGGCAUAAAGAACUGUCGGUGCUGAUAGAAAAUCUGCUUGAACAAGAUGAAAUCUACUGGGCUCAAAGGGGGCGUGUUAAAUGGCUGAAGAAAGGAGACCUGAACUCCUCUUACUUCCAGCAUUGCGUCUCGGCUAGAAGGAGGAACUUGAUAAAGAAACUUAAGAAUGAGAGCCAGAAUUGGGUAGAGGGUAAUGACAAUCUGUGA
rnacentral:rRNA from 1 species